rnacentral:rRNA from 1 species
GAUGAACGCUGGCGGCGUGCCUAAUACAUGCAAGUCGAGCGAACGGACGAGAAGCUUGCUUCUCUGAUGUUAGCGGCGGACGGGUGAGUAACACGUGGAUAACCUACCCAUAAGACUGGGAUAACUUCGGGAAACCGGGGCUAAUACCGGAUAAUAUUUUGAACCGCAUGGUUCAAAAGUGAAAGACGGUCUUGCUGUCACUUAUGGAUGGAUCCGCGCUGCAUUAGCUAGUUGGUAAGGUAACGGCUUACCAAGGCAACGAUGCAUAGCCGACCUGAGGGGGUGAUCGGCCACACUGGAACUGAGACACGGUCCAGACUCCUACGGGAGGCAGCAGUAGGGAAUCUUCCGCAAUGGGCGAAAGCCUGACGGAGCAACGCCGCGUGAGUGAUGAAGGUCUUCGGAUCGUANAACUCUGUUAUUAGGGAAGAACAUAUGUGUAAGUAACUGUGCACAUCUUGACGGUACCUAAUCAGAAAGCCACGGCUAACUACGUGCCAGCAGCCGCGGUAAUACGUAGGUGGGCAGCGUUAUCCGGAAUUAUUGGGCGUAAAGCGCGCGUAGGCGGUUUUUUAGUCUGAUGUGAAAGCCCACGGCUCAACUUUGGAGGGUCAUUGGAAACUGGAAAACUUGAGUGCAGAAGAGGAAAGUGGAAUUCCAUGUGUAGCGGUGAAAUGCGCAGAGAUAUGGAGGAACACCAGUGGCGAAGGCGACUUUCUGGUCUGUAACUGACGCUGAUGUGCGAAAGCGUGGGGAUCAAACAGGAUUAGAUACCCUGGUAGUCCACGCCGUAAACGAUGAGUGCUAAGUGUUAGGGGGUUUCCGCCCCUUAGUGCUGCAGCUAACGCAUUAAGCACUCCGCCUGGGGAGUACGACCGCAAGGUUGAAACUCAAAGGAAUUGACGGGGACCCGCACAAGCGGUGGAGCAUGUGGUUUAAUUCGAAGCAACGCGAAGAACCUUACCAAAUCUUGACAUCCUUUGACAACUCUAGAGAUAGAGCCUUCCCCUUCGGGGGACAAAGUGACAGGUGGUGCAUGGUUGUCGUCAGCUCGUGUCGUGAGAUGUUGGGUUAAGUCCCGCAACGAGCGCAACCCUUAAGCUUAGUUGCCAUCAUUAAGUUGGGCACUCUAAGUUGACUGCCGGUGACAAACCGGAGGAAGGUGGGGAUGACGUCAAAUCAUCAUGCCCCUUAUGAUUUGGGCUACACACGUGCUACAAUGGACAAUACAAAGGGCAGCGAAACCGCGAGGUCAAGCAAAUCCCAUAAAGUUGUUCUCAGUUCGGAUUGUAGUCUGCAACUCGACUACAUGAAGCUGGAAUCGCUAGUAAUCGUAGAUCAGCAUGCUACGGUGAAUACGUUCCCGGGUCU